rnacentral:rRNA from 1 species
AUUGAACGCUGGCGGCAGGCCUAACACAUGCAAGUCGAGCGGAUGAAGGGAGCUUGCUCCUGGAUUCAGCGGCGGACGGGUGAGUAAUGCCUAGGAAUCUGCCUGGUAGUGGGGGAUAACGUCCGGAAACGGGCGCUAAUACCGCAUACGUCCUGAGGGAGAAAGUGGGGGAUCUUCGGACCUCACGCUAUCAGAUGAGCCUAGGUCGGAUUAGCUGGUUGGUGGGGUAAAGGCCUACCAAGGCGACGAUCCGUAACUGGUCUGCGAGGAUGAUCAGUCACACUGGACCUGAGACACGACCCAGACUCCGACGGGAGGCAGCAGUGGGGAAUAUGGGAAACUGGGCGAAAGCCUGAUCCAGCCAUGCCGCGUGUGUGAAGAAGGUCUUCGGAUUGUAAAGCACUUUAAGUUGGGAGGAAGGGCAGUAAGUUAAGACCUUGCUGUUUGGACGUUACCAACAGAAUAAGCACCGGCAAACUUCGU